rnacentral:tRNA from 1 species
GGUGCUAUAGUGUAGUGGUUAUCACUCGGGAUUUUGAUGAUGUCUUCCCGAAACCCAGGUUCGAGCCCUGGUAGCACCU